UACAGAGGUCUCAAGCGUUGUUCGGAUUCAUUGGGCGUAAAGGGUGCGUAGGCGGGUCUUUAGGUCAGGGGUGAAAUCCUGGAGCUCAACUCCAGAACUGCCUUUGAUACUGGAAGAUCUUGAGUUCGGGAGAGGUGAGUGGAACUGCGAGUGUAGAGGUGAAAUUCGUAGAUAUUCGCAAGAACACCAGUGGCGAAGGCGGAGCUCGACUUGGCCC
rnacentral:rRNA from 1 species